rnacentral:rRNA from 1 species
AACCCCUGUGACAUACCAAUUGUUGCCUCGGCGGAUCAGCCCGCUCCCGGUAAAACGGAACGGCCCGCCAGAGGACCCCUAAACUCUGUUUCUAUAUGUAACUUCUGAGUAAAACCAUAAAUAAAUCAAAACUUUCAACAACGGAUCUCUUGGUUCUGGCAUCGAUGAAGAACGCAGCAAAAUGCGAUAAGUAAUGUGAAUUGCAGAAUUCAGUGAAUCAUCGAAUCUUUGAACGCACAUUGCGCCCGCCAGUAUUCUGGCGGGCAUGCCUGUUCGAGCGUCAUUUCAACCCUCAAGCCCCCGGGUUUGGUGUUGGGGAUCGGCGAGCCUCACGGCAAGCCGGCCCCGAAAUACAGUGGCGGUCUCGCUGCAGCUUCCAUUGCGUAGUAGUAAAACCCUCGCAACUGGUACGCGGCGCGGCCAAGCCGUUAAACCCCCAACUUCUGAAUGUUGACCUCGGAUCAGGUAGGAAUACCCGCUGAACUUAAGCAUAUCAAUAAGGCGGAGGAA